GCCGAAGGCGGUGGCUCGUGCCUGUAGUCCCAGCUAUUUGGGAGGCUGAGGCUGGAGGGUUGCUUGAGCCCAGGAGUUCUGGGCUGUAGUACGCUAUGCCCAUCGGGUGUCCGCACUAAGUCCGGCAUCAAUACGGUGACCUCCCGGGAGCGGGGGACCACCAGGUUGCCUAAAGAGGGUGAACCAGCCUAGGUCGGAAACGGAGCAGGUCAGACUUCCGUGAUGAUCAGUAGUGGGAUCGCGCUAGUGAAUAGCCACUGCACUCCAGCCUGGGCAACAUAGUGAGACCCUGUCUCU
rnacentral:SRP_RNA from 1 species